UUGCCAUAGAUGAAAUCAGUUAAAGGCA
rnacentral:piRNA from 1 species